CUUGGGAUUCACUUCUUGAGACUGUUUUUUAAUUACAAUUUCCUUGUGUUGUGGACUAUGUUGAGAAUUGGAUAAAGAGACAGCAAUACUUAAUUGUUCCUUCUGAUGUACAUGAUCGUUCCCGGAUUAUUGCAUAGAAUACUCGUGCUUAGGUUUGCUCGUGACACAAUCGUCCUAGCUCUUUUCUGAUCCUCAUAGAACCUGCGACCGGAAGUUGUAGUUGGAGUGUUCCUGCUUGGGGAUUCCUGAUUCUUGUGUUCCUAAGUCGUUCUUCAUUUCCACCAUAAUCUAGCUGUUACAGUUUGUUAUAAGAGUUGCCUACCGACUGACAUUACAGGCGUGGAAGAGUAAAGAUGGUUCAUGGAGCCUUAAUCGGCGUGAACGCUUAUACACGACAAUCCCAUAUGUCACUGUGUUUUGUGUUAUUAUAGUUAAUGUCUAAGUGGCGAGGAGUUUCGAUAAGCAGGAUGUAAUAUAAUGUAGGAAAUGACUAUUGUCACCCCCUUGCACCCCCUUUUGAUUAUUGCCACCCCCUUUAUUUUAAUAAAAUAAACACCCCCUUUGACUAUUGUCACCCCUCACAACACGCCCUUUUGGCUAUUGUCACCACCUUUCAAUUUAUCCUUAUAAUUUUGCCAUCAGCGGCUCUUUUUCAAUUUUAUUCGUGCCAGUUAGGUUGGCAUUUCUUGACCAGCGAUCGAGGCAAUCCUUUGCACGAAACAGCGGUUCCUUCUGGUGGACGUUCGAGGCCAUCGUGUGACGACAUGGAAGCCCGUCUGUACAUGAUGCGAGACAGUCACACUGAUACCGCAUGGUGCUUUCGUCAGAAUGUACGUACUAAGCAUUCUGCCCUUCGCGUGCGUUGGAACGGUCGUUUGCUCGUGGUCUUUGCCGUAUGCGCUUUGUGGCGGAUUUAUAAACUAGAGUCUUGCGCUGGGGAUCGUUUUCUGGCAACUUUUUCGAUCGAUCAAUGACGAAAGUCUGGUUGGUGGCUUAAGAAAACCUAAGAAAACCUAAGAAACUUAAGACAUCAAAACAAUAAGUACUAUAAUUAUGCAUAUUUUAUUCUAUCAAGUAUACUUACUAUCAAGUACUGUAAAAUACUAUUACUAAGUUGGCUGAAAGGUCAACCCAGCAACAAUGUUGAAAAAAAUGACCGACGAGUGGCAAUAGCCAAAGGGGGUGUUUAUUUUAUUUAAAAAAAGGGAGUGACAAUAGUCAAAAGGGCGUGCAAGGGGGUGGCAACAGCCGAAAGGGGGGGUGACAAUAGUCGCACCCUAUAAUGUAAUUCUGUGCUUAAUACAUCCUUCUGCAUACAGAGGUUUUAAUAUUGCAAACUAUUGUUUAUUACCUGCUUGCUCUAAUUAGCAAAUGUUUUGCAGUUUUAUUCUGUUUUGGAAAAACAAGACAACGAAACUGCAAUAUCUACAGAGUCUUGAGCGAAGCCGGUAACUUAUUGAAGAAGCCCUUGGUAAUGUUCUGAAAUCCGUUGCAGCCAAAUCCAGAACCUCCAGCUCGUUCAUAACUGCCAUGACAGGUUUAGUUUGCAAAUUACACCAGAUUACAAAAACACUGAUUUUCACUGUUGUUGGUAUUUAAUUUAUCCUUCUUACCACCACUGGUUCCGCUUAGCACCUCUUAUUUUCUUGCAUGUUUAGAUUGUCUUCCGGUUUUCUUGACGAAAUUGUUUUCUUGGACUCUUUAAACUCUAAAACGACUUAUAUCCAGUCUGGGAAGCAUUGCUAGGUAUGAACAGCUCCGGCCGGGUUUGAACGGUCAAACAGGUCGUACGCAAACGCCGCCGCAAAUUUGUAAACGGUCCUCAGUCGAAGUCUUAAUAGGUUUUGCGCUGCCGCGUACAGCGAACUCUCAGUUGUUGUUUGCAAUCGCAAAUGCAACUCCGGUAAUCCAUGGAUACGAAGACACCUGCCUGCUUAUGAGCUGUCCCUGGCUCUUCUAGAGUGGACAUUUCACUACUUUUCACUCGUUCCACAAUUCUUCAUGCUACCUUUUGCUCCAUGUGCUAACCUUUGGCACUACCUUUGGUUCCAUGCACAACGUGAUAUAACCUUUCUCGACGCUGCCUUUCGCUCCGUUCACAGAAUCACAACUUCUACUGGAUGUGAGAUCCAGAAUUAAUUUGAUUGAAACCGGGUUGACCCGUUGGAUUUCGAGCGACAGGAUUUCGAUGGAAUUCAAGGAAGCGAGGUAAACCAGCGUGCUUAUGUAAUCGCUGUCCAAUCUCCUUGGCUAACUAUCACCGGCCCCGACUUCCCCUGGCCUUAGCGUUUCGAAAGCUAGUGGCGCGAAUAGAUGUACCUAGCUUCCAGGCACGCGUAUAAACGGCUGGAUUUCUCAUCUUAAUUCUUCCGUCCGUGCUCUUGCAUAUCCCACAGCAACCGAAAUGGGUUUGAUGUGCAAGGAUGCGGCGCACAUUUUUUGCUGCACUACCAUUUUACUUGAUAAUACUCUUUGUGAGAUAUUAAUCGUUGUUGAUCAAAAUCAUGGUACAUAGUUACUGUGUUUGCAACUUUUGAUAGUAUAACUCUAAAUUGGUGUCUGUUAAGAAAAGAUAUAAUAUAGUAAACCAGGGUAUAUAGGCAGUAGAUAAU